rnacentral:rRNA from 6 species
ACGGGUGAGGAAUACAUCGGAAUCUACCUUUUCGUGGGGGAUAACGUAGGGAAACUUACGCUAAUACCGCAUAAGACCUUCGGGUGAAAGUGGGGGACCUUCGGGCCUCACGCGGAUAGAUGAGCCGAUGUCGGAUUAGCUUGUUGGCGGGGUAAAAGCCCACCAAGGCGACGAUCCGUAGCUGGUCUGAGAGGAUGAUCAGCCACACUGGAACUGAGACACGGUCCAGACUCCUACGGGAGGCAGCAGUGGGGAAUAUUGGACAAUGGGCGCAAGCCUGAUCCAGCCAUACCGCGUGGGUGAAGAAGGCCUUCGGGUUGUAAAGCCCUUUUGUUGGGAAAGAAAUCCUGCCGGUUAAUAACCAGUAGGGAUGACGGUACCCAAAGAAUAAGCACCGGCUAACUUCGUGCCAGCAGCCGCGGUAAUACGAAGGGUGCAAGCGUUACUCGGAAUUACUGGGCGUAAAGCGUGCGUAGGUGGUUGUUUAAGUCUGCUGUGAAAGCCCUGGGCUCAACCUGGGAAUUGCAGUGGAUACUGGGCGACUAGAGUGUGGUAGAGGAUAGUGGAAUUUCCGGUGUAGC